UUCUUCACAUUACUGUAUUUAUAGUAUUUCAAUGUUUAAGCAUUAAUGAAUGAUGUUGUCUGUUGAAAAUUAUGAACAAAAAAGAAGAUAUCAUUCUUCUUGUUUAUUAAAAUAUUCAGGAAUCUAUGUGAGGAUCAUUUGGAUGUAGGAUAAGGGAUAUAGGAGGGAGGUUUUUUGGAGUUGGCCCUGAUAUAGCAGUUGCUCUCUGCAGAGCAGGGGUUGUGUUUGCUAUCCUGGCUGGAAAGAGGAAAAGUGAACGACAUUUGUCAGAAGAAAACGAAAAGAGAGCUCUAGUAAGUAAAUAUAAUUCUUCUGGGUUUGGGGAUUUUUUUGUAAGUUUUGUGGUUUUUUUAUUUUUAAAAAAUUUAAAUGGGGGGCGGGCACCUAGACUUUUUAAUGAUAUUCCUUUUCUAACAGUUUACUUCUUCUUCCCUGUUCUUCCAAGGGUCAUUUUCCAAUCAUCUAUAUUCACAUUUUGAAUGUAAGAAAACUGAAUAUCAAAUUUUUAAAGAAGGAAUUAAAGUUUCUGGGCAAAUAUUAUGAAUCCCAAACCAAAAAUGAUAUUAUGAUAUUCCAGGACAGUCAAUUGGAUUCGGGGACUUUUUCAGGAUGUUCUUCAAAUUUUAUAUUUUCAGCAACCUUGAAUUGUUGUGGUUAAUUAUUACACACUUUUUCAAAAUAAUUUUUAGAGCUGCACUAAUCGGUGCCCAUUUAUGACCUUUUGUUUAUUUUUUGCACAUCACUUUGACAUGUUUUUUAUUUUGGGCUCUAUUUCACUGCAAAUUCAAAUCCUUUCGGUUUUUAUCGAUUCUAAUGAGAAUGAAAUUAACAAUGUGAUGCUAAAACUGACCUAAUCAGAUUUUUUCAAAAUUUAAGGAAGGAAUAAAUGAAUAAAUAAAAGACUCAUUAUUCUAUGAUAUAUUACAUUAACAUAAUUAAAUAAAUGAUAAAAUAUAGAUACAAAAUCAUUUUAAAUAUAAUUAACUAAUCUCCCUAGUACAGAGGAAAUUUCUCAUUUAAUCUGCACUCCAAUAUAUUCCCAAUGUCGAAUCAAUUGAAAAUUUGUCCUCAAAACAUGUUAAAAUGCCUAAUGUUCAUGCGCCAUGCAGUGUAAAUAAUGCAACAAAAACUGAUAAGGGGUGUACCAAAAAAAUGUUCCAGCUUGACACAUUUUGAGUAAAAAUUUUGCAUCCACAAAUAAAAUCCACCAAAUAGAGACAGUAUUGCAACUUUUUUCGUUAUUUUUUUAAAACACCCCGUAUAUACCGCGUGUCUUUGAAAUAUAACAUGUUUGUGUUAAGUAACAACCAACACUACCAAAAAAAUGUGUAUUCACGGGAUAACAUUGCUUCUGUACUUCCCAAAUUUAAUCUUAGAAUUUGUCUUAUGAAAUGACUCAUAAAAUGGAAAUGUAAUAUUGAAAGAAAUUCAUUAAUUACUCAGUAAUGACCAUAGGGGCAACAACCUUGAGUUGAAUGUAGAAAAAACUAAAAUACUGCUGAAAAAUAUCAGUCAAAAUAAAGGUAAUAAAUAUAUACACAAUAGUAGAUCAACUUACAGGGCUUUAGUGAGGAAAGGAACAUCAUAAGUAACUUGUUCUGGUAGGGGUGGUACCACAGCGAACCCCUAAGUAACUCUUAGGUAUAUUAGGUGAGGUGAAGAAAAAUCCAAACCAGAAUCUUUUAUGAAAGGGCUAGUGUCAAGACUAUGAAGUCUAAUUAGAAAGAUAGGUCCAUAAACAGAACUUUAAGAUAUUGCAGUGGUACAGAACAUCUUCCUGAGAAACAGUUGAAAGACUAAUAAAAAAACCAAAGAAAACUUUAGGAUCUGAAAAGAUGUUAAAAGAACCAAAUAACUUGAUCGAGUUUCAUUUCUAUAUUUGAUUUUUCAGUUUCGUCAUAAUUUUUAGUAUCAAUGAUUAAUAAUAUCAUAAUUUCCAAAGACACACGAUAAAAAGCCAUACAUAUAUUUAUAUUUAAUAACAUACGUCCGCUAUAGAAAAAUAGUCCUUAAAAAUACUUUAUACAAGUGAAUAAAAAUUAAUUGAGACGUUUUUUUGUUUGUUUGUUUGUUUGUUGUAUACAAAUCUUUCCGAAUCAAUUCAAUGUUCACAUUCGCAUCAGCAUUUUUGUUAGCUAAGUAUCUGUCUGAUUUCUUUGUGCAUGUGACAUAAGAAAUCUACAUAGCUAGCAGAACCGUCUACGCCACGAUCUUCUACUAAGAAAUGUUUAAAGACAGGUUCCAAUUUCUCCCUUUGUCUAACUAGUGUUAACUGAAAAAAUAAGAGACAAAUUAUUUUUUUUUUAUCAUAUAGGUAGAAGCUGACAAAACAAUUUUAAUUGAUUUGCUCUUGAGACUAUACAGUUCAAUUCAAUAAAAGUGUAGAUUUAAUUGUAAACCUACUAUAAACUCUAGAAGCAAAAAAACAAGCAACUAAAGGUGGGAUAUUGGAAUAUGGAAGAAGUUAACGUAUCAGAAAUAGCCUAAGUUUCUUUAGAAUUAUAUCGAAAAUAUCUUCCUGGCAAAGAAAUAGAUACUGAAAGAUAUGAAAACACAAAUUUUUAAAAAAGUAGCCUCAUUUUUGGGGACAACAAUGCAAAGCCAAAGAGAUGAGAAGAUAAAAAGGACGACUGAGAAAAAUAUGGAAAGUGGUUGAUAUAGCAGCGGAAAAAGAAACAUAAAAUGUAGAGGGAUAAGAAAGAAAGUAGUAAUGGAGGAGUGAUACUAUCUCAUAACUAGAUUCUUCAUACCCCUUAAAGGUAAAAAGGUUUAAGAAUAGGUAAGUUAUAUUUUGAGACAAUUAGUUUACAGGUUGUCCGUUUGCAUUUUAUCCAAAAUGUAUAAUGCUGACAGAUAAUAAAAAAAGUACAAUUU